UCUCUCUCUCUCUCUCUCUCUCUCUCUCUCUCUCUCUCUCUCUCUCUCGCCCUGAAGCUGACAGAGGGAGAGGGGUGGAGAGGACGAGGCGAGGAUCUCCUCAACUAAACCACCAGAAUGAAGAAAGAGGAGGAGGAGGAACGCACUGCAGCGAGAAAACCUGCUCCUCUCUCUCUCUCUCUCUCUCUCUCUCUCCCACCCUUCCUCAUCUUCAUCCCUUCUUCUUGCCAAUGACACCAUGAACCCGUCCGCCGCUUGUUGCUAAGGAGGGAGCCAAGCCGGCGGAAAGGAGCGCAGCGGACAGGGCCGGCCGCUCUUUGCUUUCUAAGGUCUGAGUGAAGAUGGCCGAGGGCUCCAAAGAGCGAGUCGGCGUGGGCCUCGCGGAUCCAGAUGAGGACUCUCCAAACAUGAUUGUCUACAGAAAGAUUGAGAACAUCGUCUCAAGAAUACAAGAUGAGAAAGCGGGAGGUGUCGCCAUCCGUACUGUCAAAAGCUUCCUGUCCAAAAUCCCCAGUGUGGUAUCAGGGGUGGACAUUGUUCAAUGGCUGAUGAAAAACCUCUCUAUAGACGAUCCAGCUGAGGCCAUCCACUUGGGGAGUCUGAUUGCUGCUCACGGCUACAUCUUCCCCAUCUCUGACCACGUCCUGGCGCUCAAAGAUGACGGCACCCUUUACCGCUUUCAGUCUCCGUACUACUGGCCUUCAAACUGCUGGGAGCCUGAGAACACGGACUAUGCCAUCUACCUGUGCAAGCGCACCAUGCAGAACAAAGCCAGGCUGGAGCUCGCCGAUUAUGAGUCUGAGAACCUUGCCCGACUGCAGCGGACUUUUGCCAGGAAGUGGGAGUUCAUCUACUUGCAGGCCGAAGCUCAAGUCAAAAUUGACAAAAAGAAGGACAAGGCAGACAGGAAGGUCCUGGAUAGCCAAGAGAGGGCCUUCUGGGAUGUUCAUCGACCAGUGCCAGGCUGCGUCAACACCACCGAGAUGGACAUCCGCAAGUGUCGCAGAGAAAAGAACCCACACAGGGUGAAAAGGUCAGUUUACGGGGUGCCAGAUGACAGCCAGAGCCAGCCAUGUCCAGUCCCCAUCAGCUCUACGCCAGCCAGAAAGCUCACCCAAGAGGACGUUGAGAAGGAGAUUGGCUUCCUCAACCUCCAGCUUGGCCGCCAUUGCAUGAAAGUUUCCAAAGUAGCCGAGAGUCUCAUGGGCUACACCGAGCAAUUCAUGGAGUACGACCCGCUUGUAUCGGCCGUUGAGCCCUCCAACCCUUGGAUCAGUGACGACACCACCUUCUGGGACCUGGAGGCAAGACACGACCCCACCCAGCAGCGAGUGAAGAAGUGGGGCUUCUCCUUGGAGGAAGCGCUCAAAGACCCAGCAGGAAGAGAUCAGUUCCUGAAGUUCCUGGAGACUGAAUUUAGCUCGGAGAAUUUGCGAUUUUGGUUGGCAGUGCAGGAUCUGAAGCGUCAGCCGUUGCAGAAUGUCCCCGCUAGAGCGCAGGAGAUCUGGCAGGAGUUUCUAGCCGAGGGGGCGCCAAGCUCUAUCAACCUGGACUCUCACAGCUUUGAGCGCACCAGCCAAAACCUGAAAGACCCCGGGCGCUACAGCUUUGAGGAUGCUCAGGAGCACAUAUUCACACUCAUGAAAAGUGACAGCUAUGCACGCUUUUUGCGAUCCGGAAUCUACCAAGACCUCCAGUUUGCCAGAAAGAAGAACACACGUGUAGUGUAAUGUGGAUCUUUCUAGCAAAUCACUACUUGUGUUCACGCCAGCCUUUCUGUCCCUUGAUGUUACAACACUGCUCCUGCCACUGCCCACCACCACCCACCAUCCAAACCUCCAUGUUUGUGUCCUCGACCCCUCAUUUGUGUACCUCCUUGAUCAUUUUUCUCCCCGACUCAUAACAUCACCGCCCACCUCAUCGCCUCCUGUACCCAACCAUGCCCCCCCCCCCAUAGCAACAACCUGCAGACCCUGAACAAGGCCGCCGCACCUCCUUGGAGAAGUUCACGCGCAGUGUGGGCAAGUCAUUGACUGGCAAACGUCUAUCAGGGUUAAUGCAGUCAUCCUGACACACUCUGUUGUGGGGGGCACUUUGAGCUCCUUAAUGGGGGGGGGGCAACGACACGGGACUGGGCUGGUCGUCAGAACUCAAACGCCGCCACUAUACGACUCACGCGGCACUGGACCUACUGGGAUGGGAUCCAAGGCCAGACUCGGUGACUGGAAAUGAGCGCUCACAGGAGGGGAAGUACCACGUGACACUACAACGAAGCCUCUUUAAACAACGGGUUAUUUGGUGGAUAAGCGGAUACGUUUAUAUUUUGUAUUGAUGUACACGGUGUAUGUGUGUCCUAUUAAAAGCACAUUUGGAAAAUGAAUACAAAAAGCUUUUUUUUUUUUUUUUUGCAGGGGGGGCAGAAAUUUAACACAGAUCCAUUGAUUUACAGCAAUAAAGGCCUUGUGAGACUUGA